rnacentral:rRNA from 1 species
CCUACGGGAGGCUGCAGUGGGGAAUAUUGGGCAAUGGGCGCAAGCCUGACCCAGCAACGCUGCGUGAAGGAAGAAGGCUUUCGGGUUGUAAACUUCUUUUAAGAGGGAAGAGCAGAAGACGGUACCUCUUGAAUAAGCCACGGCUAACUACGUGCCAGCAGCCGCGGUAAUACGGAGGUGGCAAGCGUUGUCCGGAUUUACUGGGUGUAAAGGGCGUGCAGCCGGGAAGACAAGUCAGAUGUGAAAUCCCGCGGCUCAACCGCGGAACUGCAUUUGAAACUGUUUUUCUUGAGUACCGGAGAGGUCAUCGGAAUUCGUGGUGUAGCGGUGAAAUGCGUAGAUAUAAGGAAGAACACCAGUGGCGAAGGCAGAUGACUGGACGGCAACUGACGGUGAGGCGCGAAAGCGUGGGGAGCAAACAGGAUUAGAUACCCCAGUAGUC